CAAAGAUGAGCUUGUGGGGCCUUUUCGGGUUGAGGAUGGAGUCAAGCUCAACUCCCAGUCCUACUGCCAGUUCCUGGAAGACACCUUCUUCAAGCAGUGGUACAGGAAGAAGUCUGCAUCCUUCAAGAAAAACAUGAUUUUCAUGCAGGACAAUGCUCCAUCACACGCGUCCAAGUACUCCACAGCGUGGCUGGCAAGAAAGGGUAUAAAAGAAGAAAAUCUAAUGACGUGGCCUCCUUGUUCACCUGAUCUGAACCCCAUUGAGAACCUGUGGUCCAUCAUCAAAUGUGAGAUUUACAAAGAGGGAAAACAGUACACCUCUCUGAACAGUGUCUUGGAGGCUGUGGUUGCUGCUGCACGCAAUGUUGAUGGUGAACAGAUCAAAACACUGACAGAAUCCAUGGAUGGCAGGCUUUUGAGUGUCCUUGCAAAGAAAGGUGGCUAUAUUGGUCACUGAUUUGUUUUUGUUUUGUUUUUGAAUGUCAGAAAUGUAUAUUUGUGAAUGUUGAGAUGUUAUAUUGGUUUCACUGGUAAUAAUAAAUAAUUGAAAUGGG